CCGGCCUCGCUGCCCUGCUCGGAGAGGCCGGGUUGGGGCCAUGGGACCGCUGCCGGCUCGGGGAGUACGGGAGCGAACGCACCGGUGGAGCCCCCGAGCCCCCGGCGGCAUCAGCCAGGAGCCGAGGGGCAGCAAGACAGCGACUGCAGACCGUGUGUGUAUGUGCACAUGAAUUAUACACAUUUAAAAGGCAACUUGCACUGCCAAUACCAUUUAGCACAACCUGCCUAAUUCACAGCAGCCCUUACUUGAUGCCUUUUUUAUUAAAUGCGAGCUUCUCCCAGCCUCUUCCCUCAUCACAGCGAGCACACCACUCUGCUUCUGCCUGGAAAGGUUCAUCUGGAAGUCCCAGCAUGUCCUGCAGCCCCAGGGACACAUCUAUGCAAUCCCUGCAGGAGACCCGUCAGCAUGACAAGGCACUGAAGAUGUAGCUGCCAGCUGCUGAUGCGUGGAGAAGGAUGAAAAGCUGAUUUCACUGUUGGAAGGAAAGAAGAAAGUGAGAAACAAACAUGAGCUCAGCACAAUAUUUGGAAGGGCAACAGCAUCAUGGUGGAUCCAUAGAGGGAGUCCCAGGCUGUUCAGGGAUGCUCCACUGAGACCAUCUCUGCUCUGUGUGUGCCCUGGUACCCAAGCUUUUAGCUCAGAGAAUACCCUCCUGUGCCACAGCCUCCGGGAUCACCAGCAGUUAUCCCAAAUCAUUCAAGAAUUUGGCCAGUAAAAUUCCAAAAGGAACUUUAACUCCAGAAGAGAGGUCUGCUGGCCUGGCUGGCUCAAUACCUGAGCUGCAGUAACCCAAGCCACAUCCUGUGCUCCUGUGCCCAGCCCCUGACGUGCUGGGGGCUCCUCAUGAGUGUGACUUGGAGCUGCACAGCUCCCAGCCAGUCUCCCACCUACACCCUCUCUAGGAGCAGGUUCUGGCGUGGGGAGCACGGCUGGGUGAGGAAGGUGGCUGCAGCCAGGGGACCUGCAGGCCGUUGGUGUCCCUCACCUGUCCCCAGGCAGGGUGCAGAGUUCCAGCUCGCUCCCUUUGGGAUGCUGCUCUGCUGCCACGUGAGCAGGAAUGAGCCCGCGGUGGCCAAGAGCCAAACUGGCUCCAGAGCUGCCAGGCAGGAGGGAGCUGGGUGAGUCUCACCUCUAUGCAGUGCCCAACCAGCCCAAACCCCGGCAGAUUUUCAGAGUUAGAAAAUAAAUGCAUGAGCAAAGGUGAGGGGGAGAGAGAGGUGUCCGUGCAAGUUUCUUGAAUCGGCUAUAGGGAACAUCACCUUGGCAGGUCAGCUCUCCAACACCCAUCCUCCAUGGCCAGGGAAGCUGGGUGUGCACCACCUCCUGCUGCGGUAAACACGCUGGCUGUGUCCAGCAAGCUCCGUGUGCUCCACUCCUCCCUUGGUGUCCUCACCUCUGCUGGACCCACCUUCCCCUGCUCUGCCCAGCGUACACUUGGAUAUUCUGCUCCUCCCUCCAGGGGCUUGCUGAGAGGCAGCCAAGGAGUCUCCACAUUUCUGCAGCACAAUUCACUGGCAAGUAAUCCAUCUCUGCUUUCCCCAAAUUCAACAACAGCACCUGACUGGCAUCCCCAAUCCUGCUUCUCCGCCUCAUCCUUCGCCCAGAAGUGUCCCUGUGCCUGCCCAGACCACAUCAAGCAGCUCUGGGUGCUGCCUCCCGGCCCUGUGCUGGCCCUGCGCAGGCUCUGAGGAAGCAGUCUCCAGGGAAACUCCUCUGCUGAGCAGUGAUUUGGGCAGGAGCUCCCCACCUCCCUUGCUCCCUGUACAACAGCUUAUUUAUUUCUCCCCGACUGAAGCGUGGCUUGCAUAUUUAU
ensembl:lncRNA